CUGCUGCUGACUCAGUCUCUCUUUGUUGAGACAGAUGUUCUUCUUUCUGCACCCUAGAAAGGUCCUGCAUAGGGGCCUAUGAAAGCAGCAUCUGUGAGCUUCUUUAGCUUCCAUCUAGAACUUGAGAAUGCAGCCUUCUCUUCAAAGAUGGCUCGUGCAAUGGCAGCUUCUGCUCCAGUGUUGAGUAUAGACUGGUCUUCCUGGGACAGUGAUGAUGCCCUCCAUAUUUGAUGGUUAGAGAUGUGGUGGAGCAAAGGCACCAUGGCUGCAGCUGGAAUCUGAGAGCACGCAACUUGAACCACAGGCAAAAAGCAGAGGAAUUAAAAUGGGAACAAGACAAGUCUUCAAGCUCUCCAAAAUUUCCAGAGUGGAAGACCUUGUUACUCCAGAAAGACCAUACCUCCUAAUCCUACUCAAACAGCACUACUAAUUAGAGAUCAAGUUAUUCACAUGCCUGCAAAUAUGGGUGCCAUUCAUCACUCACACCACCACGAUAUCAUUUCCUGGUUCUGCUUCCCUGGUAGAAGCUCUAUGCCCAGCCUAUCUCCUAAUUUCAAAGAACUUUGAUUUGUGCCUUGAUUUUUUUUAUCAGUUCCUUAAUUUACUUGUUUGAAUAUUUUGUAAUUUUUAUUAAGAUGUUUUUCUUUCUUUUUUUGAAGGAUAAUGAAUAUUUUUAUUAUGCAGAAAUGUAGCAUCAGAAGAAACCCGAUACAGAUGAUGAUGGUGGCAGCCAGGCGGACCACAUUGAAGAUCACCUCCUGCUUCAGGAGAUCCACCGCUAGAGAAGGAGAAGAUCACACCAGUCAAACAAGUCAAUUGUUCAUGAGCCUCUCUGAAAAGCAGGACUGUGUCUCAUGACUCACAAACACCGUAAUUAUCCCUAUCUCUCUCUAUGCCCCCUUUCCGUUCCUUUGCUGUAAAUCCCACUUGCCCUUCAAGGCUCUGCUUACAGGCCGUGUAAUUGGGCUCAGGAACCUCCUCAGUUUUCUCAGUAAGCACUUACUUUACCAGGGCAGCACGCAUUCAUUUGUCUUCAAAUACACUGGAUCACUGCUGUUUUGUUUUGUUUUUAAUGACUCAAACCUGUUCUUUUCCUGAUCUCUUAUAAGUGCUGUCGGUUUCCAGGGUUUAUUUGAGGAGAAAUUUAUAUAAUUUAUAGUUAACAACUUUAUGAAGUGAGUUUUGUACACUCACAAUGUGGUGUGACCAUUUUCUCCACCAUGAGAUCCUCUUCUCUCCUUCCAUCCCACGCCACUCCACUAAGCUGUCCUCUAGACCUCUGCACACAGGCCUUUGGGAAGAAGCCUUUGAAGGGGCGCCGCACCUACAAGUCUUUAGUGCAUUCUGUGCUCACAUCUGAAAUCAAUUGCUUUUCCUGUGUUAGAAUGAUUCAAUUCCUCUGGUUUCCCACUCUGUGCUGUUUUCAUGGUCUUGGUGGUAGAAACUGUUCAAGCUCUGUCACCAGUGUUAGCCCGGCUGCUGAUAUAUGCUAAGCCAUCAGAAGUUAUUUGUUGAACAGAUGAAUCAGUGGAUGAAUAAAUGAACUUUCUUGACAACUUCA